CACGUAGGGGGCAAGCGUUGUCCGGAUUUAUUGGGCGUAAAGAGCUCGUAGGUGGCUUAGUAAGUCGGGUGUGAAACCUCCAGGCUCAACCUGGAGACGCCACCCGAUACUGCUAUAGCUUGAGUCCGGUAGGGGAGCGUGGAAUUCCUGGUGUAGCGGUGAAAUGCGCAGAUAUCAGGAGGAACACCAGCGGCGAAGGCGGCGCUCUGGGCCGGUACUGACACUGAGGAGCGAAAGCGUGGGGAGCGAACAGG
rnacentral:rRNA from 1 species